AAUACAUGCAAGUCGUACGCUUCUUUUUCCACCGGAGCUUGCUCCACCGGAAAAAGAAGAGUGGCGAACGGGUGAGUAACACGUGGGUAACCUGCCCAUCAGAAGGGGAUAACACUUGGAAACAGGUGCUAAUACCGUAUAACAAUCGAAACCGCAUGGUUUUGAUUUGAAAGGCGCUUUCGGGUGUCGCUGAUGGAUGGACCCGCGGUGCAUUAGCUAGUUGGUGAGGUAACGGCUCACCAAGGCYACGAUGCAUAGCCGACCUGAGAGGGUGAUCGGCCACAUUGGGACUGAGACACGGCCCAAACUCCUACGGGAGGCAGCAGUAGGGAAUCUUCGGCAAUGGACGAAAGUCUGACCGAGCAACGCCGCGUGAGUGAAGAAGGUUUUCGGAUCGUAAAACUCUGUUGUUAGAGAAGAACAAGGAUGAGAGUAACUGUUCAUCCCUUGACGGUAUCUAACCAGAAAGCCACGGCUAACUACGUGCCAGCAGCCGCGGUAAUACGUAGGUGGCAAGCGUUGUCCGGAUUUAUUGGGCGUAAAGCGAGCGCAGGCGGUUUCUUAAGUCUGAUGUGAAAGCCCCCGGCUCAACCGGGGAGGGUCAUUGGAAACUGGGAGACUUGAGUGCAGAAGAGGAGAGUGGAAUUCCAUGUGUAGCGGUGAAAUGCGUAGAUAUAUGGAGGAACACCAGUGGCGAAGGCGGCUCUCUGGUCUGUAACUGACGCUGAGGCUCGAAAGCGUGGGGAGCAAACAGGAUUAGAUACCCUGGUAGUCCACGCCGUAAACGAUGAGUGCUAAGUGUUGGAGGGUUUCCGCCCUUCAGUGCUGCAGCUAACGCAUUAAGCACUCCGCCUGGGGAGUACGACCGCAAGGUUGAAACUCAAAGGAAUUGACGGGGGCCCGCACAAGCGGUGGAGCAUGUGGUUUAAUUCGAAGCAACGCGAAGAACCUUACCAGGUCUUGACAUCCUUUGACCACUCUAGAGAUAGAGCUUCCCCUUCGGGGGCAAAGUGACAGGUGGUGCAUGGUUGUCGUCAGCUCGUGUCGUGAGAUGUUGGGUUAAGUCCCGCAACGAGCGCAACCCUUAUUGUUAGUUGCCAUCAUUCAGUUGGGCACUCUAGCAAGACUGCCGGUGACAAACCGGAGGAAGGUGGGGAUGACGUCAAAUCAUCAUGCCCCUUAUGACCUGGGCUACACACGUGCUACAAUGGGAAGUACAACGAGUCGCGAAGUCGCGAGGCUAAGCUAAUCUCUUAAAGCUUCUCUCAGUUCGGAUUGUAGGCUGCAACUCGCCUACAUGAAGCCGGAAUCGCUAGUAAUCGCGGAUCAGCACGCCGCGGUGAAUACGUUCCCGGGCCUUGUACACACCGCCCGUCACACCACGAGAGUUUGUAACACCCGAAGUCGGUGAGGUAACCUUUUGGAGCCAGCCGCCUAAGGUGGGAUAGAUGAUUGG
rnacentral:rRNA from 1 species